rnacentral:rRNA from 1 species
UGGAGGAAAGCAGGGGAUCGCAAGACCUUGCGCUUUUGGAGUGGCCGAUGCCUGAUUAGCUAGUUGGUGGGGUAAUGGCCUACCAAGGCGACGAUCAGUAGUUGGUCUGAGAGGACGACCAGCCACACUGGGACUGAGACACGGCCCAGACUCCUACGGGAGGCAGCAGCGGGGAAUUUUGGACAAUGGGCGAAAGCCUGAUCCAGCAAUGCCGCGUGAGUGAAGAAGGCCUUCGGGUUGUAAAGCUCUUUCAGUCGAGAAGAAAAGGUUGUGACUAAUAAUCACAACUCAUGACGGUAUCGACAGAAGAAGCACCGGCUAACUACGUGCCAGCAGCCGCGGUAAUACGUAGGGUGCGAGCGUUAAUCGGAAUUACUGGGCGUAAAGGGUGCGCAGGCGGCUUUGUAAGUCAGAUGUGA